rnacentral:rRNA from 1 species
UUGGAGGGCAAGUCUGGUGCCAGCAGCCGCGGUAAUUCCAGCUCCAAUAGCGUAUAUUAAAGUUGUUGCAGUUAAAAAGCUCGUAGUUGAAUUUCGGGGUCAGUAGAUUGGUCGUGCCACUGGUAUGUACUGGUCUUACUGGCUCCUCCUUCCUGAUGAACCGUAAUGCCAUUAAUUUGGUGUUGCGGGGAGACUGGACUGUUACUUUGAAAAAAUUAGAGUGUUUAAAGCAGGCUAACGCUUGAAUACAUUAGCAUGGAAUAAUGAAAUAGGACGUUCGAUCUUAUUUUGUUGGUUUCUAGGAUUGACGUAAUGAUUAAUAGGGAUAGUUGGGGGCAUUAGUAUUCAAUUGUCAGAGGUGAAAUUCUUGGAUUUAUUGAAGACUAACUACUGCGAAAGCAUUUGCCAAGGAUGUUUUCAUUAAUCAAGAACGAAAGUUAGGGGAUCGAAGACGAUCAGAUACCGUCGUAGUCUUAACCAUAAACUAUGCCGACCAGGGAUCGGAUGAUGUUAAUUUUUUAAUGACUCAUUCGGCGCCUUACGGGAAAC